rnacentral:rRNA from 1 species
GACAGAGGGUGCGAACGUUGUUCGGAAUUACUGGGCGUAAAGCGCAUGUAGGCGGCAGCGCAAGUCGGGCGUGAAAUCCCACGGCUCAACCGUGGAAGUGCACUCGAAACUGCGCAGCUAGAGUCCUGGAGAGGAAGGUGGAAUGCUUGGUGUAGAGGUGAAAUUCGUAGAUAUCAAGCGGAACACCGGUGGCGAAGGCGGCCUUCUGGACAGUGACUGACGCUGAGAUGCGAAAGUGUGGGGAGCGAACAGG